UGGGGAAUCUUGCGCAAUGGGCGAAAGCCUGACGCAGCCAUGCCGCGUGAGUGAUGAAGGCCUUAGGGUUGUAAAACUCUUUCACCGGGGACGAUAAUGACGGUACCCGGAGAAGAAGCCCCGGCUAACUUCGUGCCAGCAGCCGCGGUAAUACGAAGGGGGCUAGCGUUGCUCGGAAUUACUGGGCGUAAAGGGCGCGUAGGCGGAUCAGCAAGUUGGGGGUGAAAGCCCGGGGCUCAACCUCGGAAUUGCCUUCAAAACUGCUGAUCUAGAGUACGGGAGAGGUGUGUGGAACUCCGAGUGUAGAGGUGAAAUUCGUAGAUAUUCGGAAGAACACCAGUGGCGAAGGCGACACACUGGCCCGUUACUGACGCUGAGGCGCGAAAGCGUGGGGAGCAAACAGGAUUAGAUACCCUGGUAGUCCGCGCUGUAAACGAUGAUUGCUAGUUGUCGGCAGGCAUGCCUGUCGGUGACGCAGCUAACGCAUUAAGCAAUCCGCCUGGGGAGUACGGUCGCAAGAUUAAAAACUUAAAUGAAUUGACGGGGUCAUAGCUGUUUCCU
rnacentral:rRNA from 1 species